UUUCCGCUGGGGGGUCUUGGGACCCCGACCUUCGGGGGCUGAUUUUUGGGCGCGGCUGUGCCCGUGGCCUAUUUUUGGCACACGGAGGCCGCCCGCCAACUCUGGGGCCAUUCCGAGUCCCGCGGACGAACUUCGCCCACGCCCCCCACCAAGGCUAUAGCCCACCCGUUUUUUGGCCAUUUUUCCGCUGGGGGGUCUUGGGACCCCAACCUUCGGGGGCUGAUUUUUGGGCGCGGCUGUGCCCGUGGCCUAUUUUUGGCACACGGAGGCCGCCCGCCAAGUAUGGUGCCAUUCCGAGUCCCGCGGACGAACUUCGCCCACGCCCCCCACCAAGGCUAUAGCCCACGCGUUUCUUGGCCUUUUUUCCGCUGGGGGGUCUUGUGACCCCGACCUUCGGGGGCUGAUUUUUGGGCGCGGCUGUGCCCGUGGCCUAUUUUUGGCACACGGAGGCCGCCCGCCAAGUCUGGGGCCAUUCCGAGUCCCGCGGACGAACUUCGCCCACGCCCCCCACCAAGGCUAUAGCCCACGCGUUUCUUGGCCUUUUUUCCGCUGGGGGGUCUUGUGACCCCGACCUUCGGGGGCUGAUUUUUGGGCGCGGCUGUGCCCGUGGCCUAUUUUUGGCACACGGAGGCCGCCCGCCAAGUCUGGGGCCAUUCCGAGUCCCGCGGACGAACUUCGCCCACGACCCCACCAAGGCUAUAGCCCACCCGUUUCUUGGCCAUUUUUCCGCUGGGGGGUCUUGGGACCCCGACCUUCGGGGGCUGAUUUUUGGGCGCGGCUGUGCCCGUGGCCUAUUUUUGGCACACGGAGGCCGCCCGCCAAGUCUGGGGCCAUUCCGAGUCCCGCGGACGAACUUCGCCCACGCCCCCCACCAAGGCUAUAGCCCACCCGUUUCUUGGCCAUUUUUCCGCUGGGGGGUCUUGGGACCCCGACCUUCGGGGGCUGAUUUUUGGGCGCGGCUGUGCCCGUGGCCUAUUUUUGGCACACGGAGGCCGCCCGCCAAGUCUGGGGCCAUUCCGAGUCCCGCGGACGAACUUCGCCCACGCCCCCCACCAAGGCUAUAGCCCACGCGUUUCUUGGCCAUUUUUCCGCUGGGGGGUCUUGGGACCCCGACCUUCGGGGGCUGAUUUUUGGGCGCGGCUGUGCCCGUGGCCUAUUUUUGGCACACGGAGGCCGCCCGCCAAGUCUGGGGCCAUUCCGAGUCACGCGGACGAACUUCGCCCACGCCCCCCACCAAGGCUAUAGCCCACCCGUUUUUUGGCCAUUUUUCCGCUGGGGGGUCUCGUGACCCCGACCUUCGGGGGCUGAUUUUUGGGCGCGGCUGUGCCCGUGGCCUAUUUUUGGCACACGGAGGCCGCCCGCCAAGUAUGGUGCAAUUCCGAGUCCCGCGGACGAACUUCGCCCACGCCCCCCACCAAGGCUAUAGCCCACCCGUUUCUUGGCCUUUUUUCCGCUGGGGGGUCUUGGGACCCCGACCUUCGGGGGCUGAUUUUUGGGCGCGGCUGUGCCCGUGGCCUAUUUUUGGCACACGGAGGCCGCCCGCCAAGUCUGGGGCCAUUCCGAGUCCCGCGGACGAACUUCGCCCACGCCCCCCACCAAGGCUAUAGCCCACGCGUUUCUUGGCCUUUUUUCCGCUGGGGGGUCUUGGGACCCCGACCUUCGGGGGCUGAUUUUUGGGCGCGGCUGUGCCCGUGGCCUAUUUUUGGCACACGGAGGCCGCCCGCCAAGUCUGGGGCCAUUCCGAGUCCCGCGGACGAACUUCGCCCACGCCCCCCACCAAGGCUAUAGCCCACGCGUUUCUUGGCCUUUUUUCCGCUGGGGGGUCUUGGGACCCCGACCUUCGGGGGCUGAUUUUUGGGCGCGGCUGUGCCCGUGGCCUAUUUUUGGCACACGGAGGCCGCCCGCCAAGUCUGGGGCCAUUCCGAUUCCCGCGGACGAACUUCGCCCACGCCCCCCACCAAGGCUAUAGCCCACCCGUUUCUUGGCCAUUUUUCCGCUGGGGGGUCUUGGGACCCCGACCUUCGGGGGCUGAUUUUUGGGCGCGGCUGUGCCCGUGGCCUAUUUUUGGCACACGGAGGCCGCCCGCCAAGUCUGGGGCCAUUCCGAGUCCCGCGGACGAACUUCGCCCACGCCCCCCACCAAGGCUAUAGCCCACGCGUUUCUUGGCCAUUUUUCCGCUGGGGGGUCUUGGGACCCCGACCUUCGGGGGCUGAUUUUUGGGCGCGGCUGUGCCCGUGGCCUAUUUUUGGCACACGGAGGCCGCCCGCCAAGUCUGGGGCCAUUCCGAGUCCCGCGGACGAACUUCGCCCACGCCCCCCACCAAGGCUAUAGCCCACGCGUUUCUUGGCCUUUUUUCCGCUGGGGGGUCUUGUGACCCCGACCUUCGGGGGCUGAUUUUUGGGCGCGGCUGUGCCCGUGGCCUAUUUUUGGCACACGGAGGCCGCCCGCCAAGUCUGGGGCCAUUCCGAGUCCCGCGGACGAACUUCGCCCACGCCCCCCACCAAGGCUAUAGUCUACGCGUUUCUUGGCCUUUUUUCUGGUGGGGGGUCUCGUGACCCCGACCUUCGGGGGCUGAUUUUUGGGCGCGGCUGUGCCCGUGGCCUAUUUUUCGCACACGGAGGCCACCCGCCAAGUCUGGGGCCAUUCCGAGUCCCGCGGACGAACUUCGCCCACGCCCCCCACCAAGGCUAUAGCCCACGCGUUUCUUGGCCUUUUUUCCGCUGGGGGGUCUUGGGACCCCGACCUUCGGGGGCUGAUUUUUGGGCGCGGCUGUGCCCGUGGCCUAUUUUUGGCACACGGAGGCCGCCCGCCAAGUCUGGGGCCAUUCCGAGUCCCGCGGACGAACUUCGCCCACGCCCCCCACCAAGGCUAUAGCCCACGCGUUUCUUGGCCAUUUUUCCGCUGGGGGGUCUUGGGACCCCGACCUUCGGGGGCUGAUUUUUGGGCGCGGCUGUGCCCGUGGCCUAUUUUUGGCACACGGAGGCCGCCCGCCAAGUCUGGGGCCAUUCCGAGUCCCGCGGACGAACUUCGCCCACGCCCCCCACCAAGGCUAUAGCCCACGCGUUUCUUGGCCAUUUUUCCGCUGGGGGGUCUUGGGACCCCGACCUUCGGGGGCUGAUUUUUGGGUGCGGCUGUGCCCGUGGCCUAUUUUUGGCACACGGAGGCCGCCCGCCAAGUCUGGGGCCAUUCCGAGUCCCGCGGACGAACUUCGCCCACGUCCCCCACCAAGGCUAUAGCCCACGCGUUUCUUGGCCAUUUUUCCGCUGGGGGGUCUUGGGACCACGACCUUCGGGGGCUGAUUUUUGGGCGCGGCUGUGCCCGGGGCCUAUUUUUGGCACACGGAGGCCGCCCGCCAAGUCUGGGGCCAUUCCGAGUCCCGCGGACGAACUUCGCCCACGCCCCCCACCAAGGCUAUAGCCCAC
rnacentral:lncRNA from 1 species